ACAAGUCCUAGUUUUCAUAACACUUAUAUCAUAAAUUUUAUGGAUGAUGGUUUUGGUUCAUGCUCCCUUGAGGGAAACAAUAAUGGAGGUGAAAAUUCAUUGCAUGAUAUAUUCCAAGUUUUAUCGGAAGUUCCUCUUCAUGUAACUACAACAGUAAAACCACCUAGUUAUCAUCAUCACUUGGAGUUGGAGGCUCCAACAAGCUUAGAUAGUGUUAUUUUUGAGGAAGGGUAUAAGCCUAAUCAUGGAGUUGCACAAGGUUAUCUAAGGGAGGAAAGACAAGUUAUGGAUGCAGACUUAGGGCGUGUUCGGCGACAGCUUUUCGAGUAGCUUUUAGUGUUUUGACUUAGUCAAAACACUAAUUGUGUGUUUGGCAUGCCAGAGGUUGAAGUAGUGCUAAGAGCUAACAGCUACGAGCCGACAGCUAACAACCACCCGAACAGCUAACAGCUACUCCAACAGCCAACAGCUACCCAACAGCUACUUUUGCCGAACAGGCCCUUAGUCAUAGCGGAUUCAAAGGGAAAGCAGCCUAUGAAGCCUGAAGAAAUACACAUGCCGGACACAAAGGGAAAGCAGCCUAUGAAGCCUGAAGAAAUACACAUGCCACAUGAUGGU